UUCCGUCUGGUGUACCGGUUAGCACGUUAUCUUCACACGGUAAAAGACCCGGUUCGACCCCGGGGAUGGAAA